rnacentral:rRNA from 1 species
UACGUAGGGUGCGAGCGUUAAUCGGAAUUACUGGGCGUAAAGCGUGCGCAGGCGGUCUGUUAAGACCGAUGUGAAAUCCCCGGGCUUAACCUGGGAACUGCAUUGGUGACUGGCAGGCUUGAGUAUGUAAGAGGGUCGCGGAAUUCCCGGUGUAGAGGUGAAAUUCGUAGAUAUCGGGAGGAACACCGGUGGCGAAGGCGGCGACCUGGGACAAUACUGACACUGAGGUGCGAAAGCGUGGGGAGCAAACAGG